rnacentral:lncRNA from 1 species
GGCAACGGCAGGCAUCGCAACUCGGGUCGCAUGUCCAUGGCCACUCGGCACUCUCCGCGAACCCUCCGGUUGCAUCGUCCUCAACGGCUGCUCUCCCGACCAUGCCGCAGGUGGCACACCUGCAGGCUGUCCCAGAGAGGAAUAGGCCGUCGCCAGUGUCAAGGCCCGGCUAUCACCUUGCGGACACUCGUCCCGCGUAUGGCCCGGCAGCCCACACUUGAAGCACUUGCCCUCCCGCUGCUCACACUGUUGUGGGUAGUGAGGGCCUCCACAAAUAACACAUCUCGCAGAGGACCUAACGUGGUAAGUCCCCGGAGCUCGGGAUCGCGAGCGCGAACUCAUCGAAGUUUGUUGGGAACUUGACUGACCGUCAUGCCCGCUCACCGGCCGUCCUUUCCCCUUUUCCUUGUAAUAUGCCUCGCGCUCCUCCCGCAGAGAUUCCUCGCCUUGCUCUAUCCACAAGGCCCGAUCUAGGACCUCGGCAAAAGUCUGCAACUUGUGUACAAGCACAGCCUUGUAAAGGCCUGGUCGCAGUCCACGCAC